GGGGAAUUUUCCGCAAUGGGCGAAAGCCUGACGGAGCAAGACCGCGUGAGGGAGGAAGGCUCUUGGGUUGUAAACCUCUUUUGUCAGGGAAGAACACAAUGACGGUACCUGAAGAAUCAGCAUCGGCUAACUCCGUGCCAGCAGCCGCGGUAAUACGGGGGAUGCAAGCGUUAUCCGGAAUUAUUGGGCGUAAAGCGUCCGCAGGUGGCUAAUCAAGUCUGCUGUCAAAGGUUGGGGCUUAACCCCAAAAAGGCAGUGGAAACUGAGAAGCUAGAGUGCAGUAGGGGUAGAGGGAAUUCCCGGUGUAGCGGUGAAAUGCGUAGAGAUCGGGAAGAACAUCGGUGGCGAAAGCGCUCUACUGGACUGCAACUGACACUCAGGGACGAAAGCUAGGGGAGCGAAAGGGAUUAGAUACCCCUG
rnacentral:rRNA from 1 species